CACAGCAUCGCAUGAUGCCGUGUGAAAAACUCCGGUGGUAUGGGAUGGACCCGCGUCUGAUUAGCCAGUUGGCGGGGUAACGGCCCACCAAAGCGACGAUCAGUAGCCGACCUGAGAGGGUGACCGGCCACAUUGGGACUGAGACACGGCCCAAACUCCUACGGGAGGCAGCAGUGGGGAAUAUUGCACAAUGGGGGAAACCCUGAUGCAGCGACGCCGCGUGAGCGAAGAAGUAUUUCGGUAUGUAAAGCUCUAUCAGCAGGGAAGAAGAAAUGACGGUACCUGACUAAGAAGCACCGGCUAAAUACGUGCCAGCAGCCGCGGUAAUACGUAUGGUGCAAGCGUUAUCCGGAUUUACUGGGUGUAAAGGGAGCGCAGGCGGUACGGCAAGUCUGAUGUGAAAGCCCGGGGCUCAACCCCGGUACUGCAUUGGAAACUGUCGGACUAGAGUGUCGGAGGGGUAAGUGGAAUUCCUAGUGUAGCGGUGAAUGCGUAGAUAUUAGGAGGACACCAGUGGCGAA
rnacentral:rRNA from 1 species